ACCUGAGGUACACAGGAUAAUACGGUCACAGGAGGUUAUACAGGAUAAUACGGUCACAGGAGGUUACAUAAAAAGGAAGAAAAUAAGAUACUAUGAAGCAAGUUUCUGGUUUGAUAUGCUUAUUUCACAUGUUUAUGUCCUGAGAGCCUAUUAAUUAAUCAACAGGAAGAUAUAAGAGCCGUGUGACAAGAGAAACACAUUCAGGGAGGAAACAGUCGGCAGGAGUGCGUCUGGAAGAAAUACCAGCUGGAGGUGUGAUGAACGUGUAUCAUGAAGAGAAAACUGACCAUCGUGGAAAGAAGACCCGAAAUGAAGACAAAGUUGAUUCUUACCCAAUCUAUGUCAACACUACCGAGCUUGCCGAAGAAAAAGAACACAUCUACAGCAAUGUUUGAAGUGUCUGCAAGUGGAAAGGCAAAGGAGUAAAUAACACCAGAACUGAUUUGAAAAU
rnacentral:lncRNA from 1 species